rnacentral:rRNA from 1 species
AGUGAACGCUGGCGGUAUGCCUAACACAUGCAAGUCGAACGGCAGCACAGUAAGAUCUUGCUCUUACCGGUGGCGAGUGGCGGACGGGUGAGGAAUACAUCGGAAUCUACUUUUUCGUGGGGGAUAACGUAGGGAAACUUACGCUAAUACCGCAUACGACCUACGGCUGAAAGCAGGAGAUCUUCGCACCUUGCGCGAUUGAAUGAGCCGAUGUCGGAUUAGCUAGUUGGCGAGGUAAAGGCCCACCAAGGCAACGAUGCGUAGCUGGUCUGAGAGGAUGAUCGGCCACACUGGAACUGAGACACGGUCCAGACUCCUACGGGAGGCAGCAGUAGGGAAUCUUCCGCAAUGGGCGAAAGCCUGACGGAGCAACACCGCGUGAGUGAUGAAGGCCUUCGGAUCGUAAAGCUCUUUUAUUGGGGAAGAAAAAAUGCGGAAUUAACCACGGACGUCCUGACGGUACCUAAUCAGAAAGCAACGGCUAACUUCGUG